GAUGAACGCUAGCUACAGGCUUAACACAUGCAAGUCGAGGGGAAACGGCAUUGAGUGCUUGCACUCUUUGGACGUCGACCGGCGCACGGGUGAGUAACGCGUAUCCAACCUUCCCAUUACUGUGGGAUAACCUGCCGAAAGGCAGACUAAUACCGCAUAGUCUUCGAUGACGGCAUCAGAUUUGAAGUAAAGAUUUAUCGGUAAUGGAUGGGGAUGCGUCUGAUUAGCUUGUUGGCGGGGUAACGGCCCACCAAGGCUACGAUCAGUAGGGGUUCUGAGAGGAAGGUCCCCCACAUUGGAACUGAGACACGGUCCAAACUCCUACGGGAGGCAGCAGUGAGGAAUAUUGGUCAAUGGACGGAAGUCUGAACCAGCCAAGUAGCGUGCAGGAUGACGGCCCUAUGGGUUGUAAACUGCUUUUGUAUGGGGAUAAAGUUAGGGACGUGUCCCUAUUUGCAGGUACC
rnacentral:rRNA from 1 species